rnacentral:rRNA from 1 species
AGUGAACGCUGGCGGUAGGCCUAACACAUGCAAGUCGAACGGCAGCACAGUAAGAGCUUGCUCUUACGGGUGGCGAGUGGCGGACGGGUGAGGAAUACAUCGGAAUCUACUUUUUCGUGGGGGAUAACGUAGGGAAACUUACGCUAAUACCGCAUACGACCUACGGGUGAAAGCAGGGGAUCUUCGGACCUUGCGCGAUUGAAUGAGCCGAUGUCGGAUUAGCUAGUUGGCGGGGUAAAGGCCCACCAAGGCGACGAUCCGUAGCUGGUCUGAGAGGAUGAUCAGCCGCACUGGAACUGAAACACGGUCCAGACUCCUACGGGAGGCAGCAGAGGGGAAUAUUGGACAAUGGGCGCAAGCCUGAUCCAGCCAGACCGCGUGGGUGAAGAAAGCCUUCGGGUUGUAAAGCCCUUUUGUUGGGAAAGAAAAGCAGCAGGUUAAUACCCCGCUGUUCUGACGGUACCCAAAGAAGAAGCACCGGCUAACUUCGUG